GAUGAACGCUGGCGGCGUGCCUAAUACAUGCAAGUCGAGCGAACGGACGAGAGGCUUGCUUCUCUGAUGUUAGCGGCGGACGGGUGAGUAACACGUGGAUAACCUACCUAUAAGACUGGGAUAACUUCGGGAAGCCGGAGCUAAUACCGGAUAAUAUUUUGAACCGCAUGGUUCAAAAGUGAAAGACGGUCUUGCUGUCACUUAUAGAUGGAUCCGCGCUGCAUUAGCUAGUUGGUAAGGUAACGGCUUACCAAGGCAACGAUGCAUAGCCGACCUGAGAGGGUGAUCGGCCACACUGGAACUGAGACACGGUCCAGACUCCUACGGGAGGCAGCAGUAGGGAAUCUUCCGCAAUGGGCGAAAGCCUGACGGAGCAACGCCGCGUGAGUGAUGAAGGUCUUCGGAUCGUAAAACUCUGUUAUUAGGGAAGAACAUAUGUGUAAGUAACUGUGCACAUCUUGACGGUACCUAAUCAGAAAGCCACGGCUAACUACGUG
rnacentral:rRNA from 1 species